rnacentral:rRNA from 1 species
CCCUUAGAUGUUCUGGGCCGCACGCGCGCUACACUGAGCCCUUCAUCGAGUUUACAACCUUGGCCGGUAGGUCUGGGUAAUCUUCUCAAAGGGGCUCGUGCUGGGGAUAGAUUAUUGUAAUUUUUAAUCUUCAACGAGGAAUUCCCAGUAAACGCAAGUCAACAGCUUGCAUUGAUUACGUCCCUGCCCUUUGUACACACCGCCCGUCGCUACUACCGAUUGAAUGGCUUAGUGAGCCCGAGGGACUGUUGCACCUAGAGGGUUUUCUCUCCAGGAGCAGCCGGGAACUCGGUCAAACUUGAUCAUUUAGAGGAAGUAAAAGUCGUAACA